CGAUGUUAGGGCUGUGAUAUUCUCUCUUAUGAGUUUUCAAUAAUCAAAUCAAUGACAAAAAUGGAAAAAGCUUCUUCAACGGUUCCCAGUUCAUCUUAUCUCAAUGCUCUUACUCUAGAAAUCGAGAAAAAGCUACAACGGGCUCUAGCUUCUGCAUCGCAGAGACGCAACUUGUUGCAGGAGUUGUUUGCUGACAUAGCUUUGGAAGUUGAUGACCGAGCAAAGGAUAUAAUUCUCAGCACGGAAGAAGAUACAAUUUCUCCUGCAGAGGAUGGUGUUGAUGGUCAAU
rnacentral:misc_RNA from 1 species